UACGAAAGGGGCUAGCGUUGUUCGGAAUUACUGGGCGUAAAGCGCACGUAGGCGGCACUGUAAGUUGGGGGUGAAAUCCCGGAGCUCAACUCCGGAACUGCCUUCAAGACUGCAGGGCUUGAGGACGCGAGAGGUGGGUGGAAUUCCGAGUGUAGAGGUGAAAUUCGUAGAUAUUCGGAGGAACACCGGUGGCGAAGGCAGCCCACUGGCGCGAUACUGACGCUGAGGUGCGAAAGCGUGGGGAGCAAGCAGG
rnacentral:rRNA from 1 species